rfam:Drosophila busckii chromosome X sequence.
GGGGAUAUAGCUCAGAGGUAAGAGUGUUCGACUGCAGAUCGAAGGGUCCCCGGUUCAAUCCCGGGUGUCCCCU